rnacentral:rRNA from 1 species
UCUCAAUUAGUWGGUGUGGUAAUGGCUCACCAGCGACGAUCUGUAACUGGUCUGAGAGGAUGAUCAGUCACACUGGAASUGAGACACGGUCCAGAYUCCUAUGGGAGGCACCAGUGGGGAAUAUUGGACAAUGGGCGAAAGCCUGAUCCAGCCAUGCCGCGUGUGUGAAGAAGGUCUUCGGAUUGUAAASCACUUUAAGUUGGGAGGAAGGGCASUAAGYUAAUACCUUGCUGUUUUGMCGUUACCGACAGAAUAAGCACCGGCUAACUCUGUGCCAGCAGCCGCGGUAAUACAGAGGGUGCAAGCGUUAAUCGGAAUUACUGGGCGUAAAGCGCGCGUAGGUGGUUCGUUAAGUUGGAUGUGAAAGCCCCGGGCUCAACCUGGGAACUGCAUCCAAAACUGGCGAGCUAGAGUACGGUAGAGGGUGGUGGAAUUUCCUGUGUAGCGGUGAAAUGCGUAGAUAUAGGAAGGAACACCAGUGGCGAAGGCGACCACCUGGAYUGAUACYGACAYUGAGGUGYGAAAGCGUGGGGAGCAAACAGGAUUAGAUACCCUGGUAGUCCACSCCGUAAACGAUGUCAACUAGCCGUUGGAAUCCUUGAGAUUUUAGUGGCGCAGCAAACGCAUUAAGUUGACCKCCUGGGGAGUACGGCCGCAAGGUUAAAACUCAAAUGAAUUGACGGGGGCCCGCACAAGCGGUGGAGCAUGUGGUUUAAUUYGAAGCAACGCGAAGAACCUUMCCAGGCCUUGACAUGCAGAGAACUUUCCAAGAUGKAUUGKUGCCUUCGGGGACUCUGACACAGGUGCUGCAUGGCUGUCG